GCGCUCGUGGCGGAAUUGGCAUACGCGCAAGCUUGAGGAGCUUGGCCCGUUAGGGCGUGUGGGUUCGAGUCCCACCGAGCGCA
rnacentral:tRNA from 1 species